UACGAGAGGCGCAAACGUUAUUCGGAAUUACUGGGCUUAAAGAGUUCGUAGGCGGCGCAGAAAGUAGGGUGUGAAAGCCCUCGGCUCAACCGAGGAAUUGCGCUCUAAACUACUGUGCUUGAGGGACCUAGAGGUGAGCGGAACUGAUGGUGGAGCGGUGAAAUGCGUUGAUAUCAUCAGGAACACCGGGAGGCGAAAGGCGGCUCACUUGGGGGUCUUCUGACGCUGAGGAACGAAAGCCAGGGGAGCGAACGGG
rnacentral:rRNA from 1 species